ACUACGGGUGGCAGCAGUGGGGAAUAUUGGGCAAUGGGCGCAAGCCUGACCCAGCAACGCCGCGUGAAGGAAGAAGGCUUUCGGGUUGUAAACUUCUUUUCUCAGGGACGAAGCAAGUGACGGUACCUGAGGAAUAAGCCACGGCUAACUACGUGCCAGCAGCCGCGGUAAUACGUAGGUGGCAAGCGUUAUCCGGAUUUACUGGGUGUAAAGGGCGUGUAGGCGGGAAAGCAAGUCAGAUGUGAAAACCAUGGGCUCAACCUGUGGGCUGCAUUUGAACCUGUUUUUCUUGAGUACUGGAGAGGCAGACGGAAUUCCUAGUGUAGCGGUGACAUGCGUAGAUAUUAGGAGGAACACCAGUGGCGAAGGCGGUCUGCUGGACAGCAACUGACGCUGAGGCGCGAAAGCGUGGGGAGCAAACAGGAUUAGAUACCCUUGUAGUC
rnacentral:rRNA from 1 species